UCCAGAAUGUCAUCCCACCCUUUGACCUUCAGAAUAUUUUCGUUCAUCUAAUUAAAUCCCUUUCAUGGUCACUUGGGCUCAUUUCAACCUUCUCUGCCCAGAGUGGGGACAGAGGACAAUCCGCAGCACUGUCCCAGUCAGAACUUUUUUAAGCCUGAUGGUAGUUACCAAGCUUCUGUUGGGUCUAAAGCUUUUGAGGUGAAGCCUAAAUUUAAUGACUCUCCUUCUAGCUCCUCAAGAAAGCAUGAGAGGCUGGCUUCAUUACUCCACGAAAGGCUGUUGGAAGAGAAAAGCGGAUUCGUUGGGCGGUGUCGAGGACAAAGGCAAGAAUAGAGCUACAGAAAAUCACCAAAGAGAAGAAAUAAAAAUACACAAAAACCAUCUUCUGCAUUACUAGGAAAAAGAAAACUCUGCAACCUUCAAAUGCGUUGUGAUUAGAAAAACAUCGCUUGGUGAUGGUGCAGUUAAGAGAAAUCAGGAAAGAAGAGGAAAAUUAAGGAUUCUGAAGAAAUAAAAGAGAAACAAAACAUGCAACUCUUGCCCUUCCUCUGCCCAACAAAACAAAUCAUCAUUAAAAUAACCUACUCCAAAGGACACAAAACUGACAGAGAGUGUUGUUCUCAAGCUAAGAACUCUUGUUAAUGAAAUGAAUAUGACCAAUAAAAAAGCAUACUACAUCUACACAAAGUUACUGUAAAAAGUAAGAUGAUGUGAAUAAAACUCUUCUGCUGAUGAAAAUUCUCCAUUUCAAUGAACCAUGAAGCUGAAGUAAACUUUAACACCUCAUUCUAAAUGGAAUUAAAUAUCCUCAAACAAGAUUCAGAGAUAUGAAAAAAAAAUCCCUCAAAACACCUUGAAUACAAAACACAAAAACUAAGAACACACAUAGACAGAAAAAGAAAGAAUGAAACAUGAGUUACUGGAACUCGGGAAA